CCAUUGCUCUGUAAAAACAUUGGAUUUAUACUGCAUAUAGAGAAAAAGAAGCUAAUGAUUUGAAAUCUGCGUCCUAGUUAUUAUAUAGACCUAACCCAUUUCUGGUUAUAUCGAGAGUUCCGUAAGGGAGACACUUGACGUCAUUGUUGUCUCACUAUUCAUUAACCGUGUGCACUGAGUACUGUAACACUCCCGUAUUCUUUGUUUUGCUGAUGACUUUUCUAGCCUGUACACAAUUCUAAUUGCCGUUUGCUACAAACUGACCACGAUAGAUUUUCUGAUUGGUUUAGUGCUCUGGGUUUGUCAAUUAAUACUUCUAAGUGUAAAGUUUUUACUUUUGCUAGAAUUCAAUCUCCUGUGGUUUUUUCGUACGCCUUUAAUCCAGCCAAUAUUCUGCGUGUAACUGAUAGUAUUUUAGAUCUUAGUUUUAAAUUUACUUUCAACCUUGUGUCAAAACGAUAUAUAUAUGCUGCAAGGCGUUUAAUUCGGGUCUG